rnacentral:lncRNA from 1 species
GCUAAAAUACGCCGUGCACACUAAAAAAUACAGCAAAUUCCUUCGAAACUUUCCAGGAACUUUCCGGCAAAACAAAACAUUCUUUUUCAGCAAAACAAACAUUAAAAGCUUUUUCGUUUUCCUUGAUUUUGGUUUAUUUUCGUUUUCGUUACAGUAGCUCAAAUUGAAAUCGGCGCUUUUCUUAGAUCCCCGAAUUCACUGCUUUUCUUAGACCCCCCGAAUUUUCUUCUCCACCCACGAACCGCUAGCAGGUAUUAACCCCCCCGGGUAACACCCAUUUCCAUUUUAUUCUGCUUUUUGUGCUUUAUAUAUUCAUAAUUUGAGUAGAAUCUGAUGCUGCAAUUGCUUUUUAAUUCCAAAAAUUAGGGGUGUGUAAGUUGUUUUUCCACAUCGAGAUCGUGUAGCUUUCUGGGAUGUUUAGUAGGAUCGAGUUUUCUUGCUCAUUUUGAAGGUUUUAUUACUUGGGUACUCGUUCAUUACUGAUUUUGGGUUUUUUUUUUUGGAAUUUUUGUUUGUUAAUUAAGUUCAAACCAUAAGUUUGCAUAAACCGUCUUCUUUUAAUAUUGCAUAAGUUUCAGAACUGAGCAUUUGGUCAAUUCCACUCCUAUCCGAUUUUUUAUAUGAGAACUUCUGAAAUAGCCGAAUCUCCUCACCUAUUUCAGAAGCUU